UCAGACAAAAAAGCAUGAAAGACACUUCAAUACAGGAAGUAGUUUCAAGACCAUCUUCCAAAAGAAUGACCAGUCACACAACGAAAACGAGAAAGGCGGAUGAAACCAACACCACCAGCAGAUCCUCUGCACAAACAAAAUCUGAAGGAUUCCAUGACAUCUUGCCAAAGUCCCCAGAUACCUUUAGACGGUAAGAGAAGCAGCAAACCUGUUUCUCCUCAUUUGGCCACUGGCUGCCAGUGAGUUCGCGUGAUGGGCACACAGAAAUGCACACAGAUGUACAUACACGUAUGUAUGCACACACAGUAUAUGAUUCCAUAAAAUUCAAAUGCAGAUUAAUUCUCCUAAUGAGUUUUCAGUGUUGAAUCGUAAAUAGUCUGAAGCAGGCCAGUGUUCCUUUUGGCUGCCAGUCUUGGAUUAGUAAAAGAGGUAAUUCUUUCAGAUUCCCUGGUUCUUUGCCACUCAGAGUAUUGUACUUUUGAUAUAGAAUAGAGAAGGUUACCUUUGGUUUAAAAACUAUUUUUAUAUACUAGCUCUUUCAUGUAUAAAACAGAGACAAUCAUCCUAACAAAAGAGUUUGUUAUUUUUCUGCACAAAUGUCUUGUGUUGAAACACUGUUACAGUUCCAUAUAAAUGUGUGCUAUAUAAAAUAAACUUUGCAGAUAAAA
rnacentral:sRNA from 1 species